rnacentral:rRNA from 1 species
GACGAACGCUGGCGGCGUGCUUAACACAUGCAAGUCGAACGGUGAAGCGAGUGCUUGCACUCGUGGAUCAGUGGCGAACGGGUGAGUAACACGUGAGUAACCUGCCCAUCACUCUGGGAUAAGCACUGGAAACUGUGUCUAAUACUGGAUACGACCAACCCUUGCAUGGGGUGUUGUGGGAAAGAUUUGUCGGUGAUGGAGGGACUCGGGGCCUAUCAGCUUGUUGGCGGGGUAAUGGCCCACCAAGGCGACGACGGGUAGCCGGCCUGAGAGGGGGACCGGCCAACAUGGGACCGGGAAAAGGGCCAGAAUCCUAAGGGGGGGAGGAGUGGGGGAUAUUGGCACAUGGGGCAAAGCCUGAUGCAGCGAAGCCGGGUGAGGGAUGGAGGCCUUUGGGUUGUAAACCUCCUUCCGCAGGGAAGAAGCGAAAGGUAAGGUAACUGCAGAAGAAGCCACGGCUAAACAAGUG